rnacentral:rRNA from 1 species
UACGAAGGGGGCUAGCGUUGCUCGGAAUCACUGAGCGUAAAGCGCACGUAGGCGGUUUGUUAAGUCAGGGGUGAAAUCCUGGAGCUCAACUCCAGAACUGCCUUUGAUACUGGCGAUCUUGAGUCCGGGAGAGGUGAGUGGAACUGCGAGUGUAGAGGUGAAAUUCGUAGAUAUUCGCAAGAACACCAGUGGCGAAGGCGGCUCACUGGCCCGGUACUGACGCUGAGGUGCGAAAGCGUGGGGAGCAAACAGG